UGAGGAAUAUUGGUCAAUGGGCGAGAGCCUGAACCAGCCAAGUAGCGUGCAGGACGACGGCCCUAUGGGUUGUAAACUGCUUUUAUAAGGGAAUAAAGUGGGUCUCGUGAGACUUUUUGCAUGUACCUUAUGAAUAAGGACCGGCUAAUUCCGUGCCAGCAGCCGCGGUAAUACGGAAGGUCCGGGCGUUAUCCGGAUUUAUUGGGUUUAAAGGGAGCGUAGGCCGGAGAUUAAGCGUGUUGUGAAAUGUAGUGGCUCAACCUCUGCACUGCAGCGCGAACUGGUCUUCUUGAGUACGCACAACGUGGGCGGAAUUCGUGGUGUAGCGGUGAAAUGCUUAGAUAUCACGAAGAACUCCGAUUGCGAAGGCAGCU
rnacentral:rRNA from 1 species